rnacentral:rRNA from 2 species
GGGUUGUGAGGUUAAGCGACUAAGCGUACACGGUGGAUGCCCUGGCAGUCAGAGGCGAUGAAGGACGUGCUAAUCUGCGAUAAGCGUCGGUAAGGUGAUAUGAACCGUUAUAACCGGCGAUUUCCGAAUGGGGAAAC